rnacentral:rRNA from 1 species
CCCUUAGAUGUCCUGGGCGGCACACGUGCUACACUGGUCUAGGUAAAAAGUGCCAUAUCCGAGAGGAUUUGGGAAUCUUUGAAACUAGGCCGUGCUUGGGAUAGGCUAUUGUAAUUGUUAGCCUUUAACGAGGAAUUUCUAGUAAGCGCAAGUCAUCAUCUUGCGCUGAAUACGUCCCUGCUCUUUGUACACACCGCCCGUCGCUUAUACCGAUUGGAUGGUCCGGUGAGUUGAUUGGACUUGGCAGCGAUGCUAGGGAAGAUCAGCAAACUUUACCAUCUAGAGGAAUAAGAAGUCGUAACA